AUAACGGAUUGCGCUGGACACUCCGACAGUUCUACUUCGCCAGUCGUAUAGUACGGACUGGUGAGAAGACCGUGAGCUGUACUGAUCACCACGAGACCUGACUGAGGCUUGGACCAAACUGAACAGUGUUCUACCGGUGUUUUUCUAUCUUCACCAAACGAUCUCGACACAACAAACAUGCUGUGGAAACUGCUGCUGACCACGUUGGUGAUGGUCGUCUCCAUCCACGAGGCAAUCGGCGAAGACGAACCGAGGCUGUACGCCGGUCCGGGCCGAAUUUGCAAUGUUGACGUGGUUUUCGUCAUCGACGAAUCCUGGA